CGGGACGGGUGAGUAACACGUGGAUAACCUACCUAUAAGACUGGGAUAACUUCGGGAAACCGGAGCUAAUACCGGAUAAUAUAUUGAACCGCAUGGUUCAAUAGUGAAAGACGGUUUUGCUGUCACUUAUAGAUGGAUCCGCGCCGCAUUAGCUAGUUGGUAAGGUAACGGCUUACCAAGGCAACGAUGCGUAGCCGACCUGAGAGGGUGAUCGGCCACACUGGAACUGAGACACGGUCCAGACUCCUACGGGAGGCAGCAGCG
rnacentral:rRNA from 1 species